UAAGGAAUAUUGGUCAAUGGACGCAAGUCUGAACCAGCCAUGCCGCGUGAAGGAUGAAGGUCCUCUGGAUUGUAAACUUCUUUUAUCUGGGACGAAAACGGGAUUUUUAUCUCAAUUGACGGUACCAGAGGAAUAAGCACCGGCUAACUCCGUGCCAGCAGCCGCGGUAAUACGGAGGGUGCGAGCGUUAUCCGGAUUUACUGGGUUUAAAGGGUGCGUAGGUGGGCUUAUAAGUCAGUGGUGAAAUCUCCGAGCUUAACUUGGAAACUGCCGUUGAUACUAUAGGUCUUGAAUUAUCUGGAGGUAAGCGGAAUAUGUCAUGUAGCGGUGAAAUGCUUAGAUAUGACAUAGAACACCGAUUGCGAAGGCAGCUUACUACAUAUAAAUUGACGCUGAGGCACGAAAGCGUGGGGA
rnacentral:rRNA from 1 species